GAGAAAGGAGAAGAAAGAAAAAAGAAAAAGAGAAAGGAAGGAAGGUUCGGCUUGAAGAAGCUAGAGAAAAACCGAGAGGUUUUUUCUCCCACCCACACGCCAUUGUUGAAGUUUAAGGAGAGCUUGGUGGUUUGGCUUAAAGAAUUCAAGCAAAAGAAUACCAUAUAGGUGCCAAGAAAACCAUGCAUGUUGGUGAAUAACAAGGAAUGUGAGACUUUGCUACCAAGGAGCUUGAGAUUUCUUGGUUUUAGAUAAAGUUGAAUUAUUGAGGAAAGGAAGCAUAUAAGUAAAGAAAGUGGGUUGUUCUGGCGUGCCGUAGGGUAACAGGUGAUCGACGAGUAGAAUUAGUUAUAUAUGCACUCAAAUCAAUAGCAAUGUAGCGUUCCACUAUUAUGAGGCUGUUAGAUGUGGCUAGGGCCACAGUCUAUGAUAUUUACGUGGCAAGGCCACGGGUUGAUAUAUGUGGCUAAGCCACAAGUGAUAUACGCAAUUGCAAACACCUGAUUUCUCCAAUGUUGGCCAACAUCAUUGAGACUCUCAUGGAUGUGGGGAUCCAGUGGAGUGGAGUUCUCGGAGGUUAUUAUGUGAAAGUAGGUCCACGAGUUCUUUAUUUCUAUUACCUACUCGAGAGUGAUAUCUCUUUGGGUUUUCAAUACAUGUUCUUUCGCAUGAUAAGUAAUCUGUUCAAGUGCAUCACUCAACACAUCGAAACGUGCUUCAACAUAGGUAAGGGCAUCUCUUAGACUUACAAUCCGAGUCGCUUUACUGCAUAGAGGUCGUGUUGUGUAAAAUAGUUUCACUUAUAAAGAUUAUCAAUCUAUCGAGAAUGUAUUUGCUAAACUUUGAGGUUGUGCAAUGAAUACCA